UGUUUCGGCAAGGGGGUCAUCCCGACUUACCAACCCGAUGCAAACUGCGAAUACCGGAGAAUGUUAUCACGGGAGACACACGGCGGGUGCUAACGUCCGUCGUGAAGAGGGAAACAACCCAGACCGCCAGCUAAGGUCCCAAAGUCAUGGUUAAGUGGGAAACGAUGUGGGAAGGCCCAGACAGCCAGGAUGUUGGCUUAGAAGCAGCCAUCAUUUAAAGAAAGCGUAAUAGCUCACUGGUCGAGUCGGCCUGCGCGGAAGAUGUAACGGGGCUAAACCAUGCACCGAAGCUGCGGCAGCGACGCUUAUGCGUUGUUGGGUAGGGGAGCGUUCUGUAAGCCUGUGAAGGUGUGCUGUGAGGCAUGCUGGAGGUAUCAGAAGUGCGAAUGCUGACAUAAGUAACGAUAAAGCGGGUGAAAAGCCCGCUCGCCGGAAGACCAAGGGUUCCUGUCCAACGUUAAUCGGGGCAGGGUGAGUCGACCCCUAAGGCGAGGCCGAAAGGCGUAGUCGAUGGGAAACAG
rnacentral:rRNA from 1 species